rnacentral:rRNA from 1 species
GGAAUUUUGGGCAAUGGGCGCAAGCCUGACCCAGCAACGCCGCGUGAGGGAUGAAGGCCUUCGGGUCGUAAACCUCUGUCGGGAGGGAAGAACGGCCUUCGUUCGAACAGGACGGGGGAUUGACGGUACCUCCAAACGACGCGCCGGCUCACUCCGUGCCCGCAGCCGCGGUAAUACGGAGGGCGCAAGCGUUGUUCGGAAUCAUUGGGCGUAAAGCGCGAGUAGGCGGCUUGGCAAGUCGGGUGUGAAAUCCCGGGGCUCAACCCCGGAACUGCAUUCGAAACUGCCUCGCUAGAGUCCCGGAGAGGGUGGUGGAAUUCCCAGUGUAGAGGUGAAAUUCGUAGAUAUUGGGAGGAACACCGGCGGCGAAGGCGGCCACCUAGACGGUGACUGACGCUGAGACGCGAAAGCGUGGGGAGCAAA